GACGAACGCUGGCGGCGUGCCUAAUACAUGCAAGUCGAACGCAGUGGGGACGGGUGAGUAACACGUGGGUAACCUCCCAUCAGAGGGGAUAACACUUGGAAACAGGUGCUAAACCGAUACUGAUGGAUGGACCCGCGGUGCAUUAGCUCGUUGGUGAGGUAACGGCGCACCAAGGCCACGAUGCAUAGCCGACCUGAGAGGGUGAUCGGACACACGGGGACUGAGAAACGGCCAAGACGCCUACGGGAGGCAGAAGUAGGGAAGCGGCGGCAAUGGACGAAAGUCUGACCGAGCAACGACGCGUGAGUGAAGAAGGGUGGCGGAUCGUAAAACUCUGUUGGUAGAGAAGCGGUAUCUAACCAGAAAGCCACGGCUAACUACGGGCCAGCAGCCGCGGUAAUUC
rnacentral:rRNA from 1 species